rnacentral:rRNA from 1 species
UACGUAGGUGGCGAGCGUUGUCCGGAUUUACUGGGCGUAAAGGGCGUGCAGGCGGUCUGUUAAGUCUAGGGUGAAAGCUCCCGGCUCAACUGGGAGAGGUCCUUGGAUACUGGCAGACUUGAGGAGAGUAGAGGGGAGUGGAAUUCCCGGUGUAGUGGUGAUAUGCGUAGAUAUCGGGAGGAAGACCAGUGGCGAAGGCGGCUCUCUGGGCUCUACCUGACGCUGAGACGCGAAAGCGUGGGGAGCGAACCGG